GGGCCAGUGGUGUAGUGGUAACACAUUGCGUUUGGAAAUGAAGGGGAGUGGUUCGAUUCCUUCCCGGUCCA
rnacentral:tRNA from 1 species